GUCCAAGUGACGAGUCCUAAAUGGGACGAAACGCGCGUCCUGGAU
rnacentral:hammerhead_ribozyme from 1 species